rnacentral:rRNA from 1 species
AUGACCAUGAUCCACCCCAGGAAGCUUGCUCAGUUGAUGAGGAAGUGGCAAAGGGUCAAGAAUCCCUCCACCGAUGACGAAGCAUGCAGCACGACGCCGACGCCGGUUGCAGAUAAAGGCCACUGUGCCAUGUACACGGCCGAUGGGAGGCGGUUCGAGGUCCCAUUGGUGUACCUCAGCACGACAGUCUUCGGCGAGCUGCUAAGGAUGUCUCAAGAGGAGUUUGGGUUCACAUGCGACGGCAGGAUCACGCUGCCCUUCAAUGCAGCAGUGAUGGAGUAUGUCAUGUGCUUGCUUAGAAGAAAUGCUUCAGAGGAAGUAGAGAGGGCAUUCCUGAGCUCUGUAGUGAUGCCUUGCCAAUAUCCAAGCCAUAUUGUGACACAUGUAGCGCUACAGCAGCAGCUUGCAGUUUGUAGCUCCUGA